GACGAACGCUGGCGGCGUGCUUAACACAUGCAAGUCGAACGAUGAAGCCGGAGCUUGCUCUGGUGAAUUAGUGGCGAACGGGUGAGUAACACAUGAGUAACCUGCCCUUGACUCUGGGAUAACUGCGGGAAACUGUAGCUAAUACCGGAUACGACCCUCGGAGGCAUCUCCUGGGGGUGGAAAGAAUUUCGGUCAAGGAUGGACUCGCGGCCUAUCAGCUAGUUGGUGAGGUAAAGGCUCACCAAGGCGACGACGGGUAGCCGGCCUGAGAGGGUGACCGGCAACACUGGGACUGAGCCACGGCCCAGACUCCUACGGGAGGCAGCAGUGGGGAAUAUUGCACAAUGGGCGCAAGGCUGAGGCAGCAACGCCGCGUGAGGGAUGACGGCCUUCGGGUUGUAAACCUCUUUUAGCAGGGAAGAAGCGAAAGUGACGGUACCUGCAGAAAAAGCACCGGCUAACUACGUGCCAGCCGCCGCCGUAA
rnacentral:rRNA from 1 species